rnacentral:misc_RNA from 1 species
GUAUCUAGUUUCUUAAGUGUCGUGUAGUUCUGUGAUGCUCCUGCGUCUAAUUCAAGCAACGUGGAACUCAGUUAGUUGUUUGAUGCUUGACUUCAUAUGAAUUUGAAGUCAAGAACCUGCUUCUGGUGCAUGGCGUUAGAUAUCUUGUCGGUUGUUGCAACUUUACAGUUAAAUAUGGCUGCACAUUCUUGGGAACAUGGAACUUGUUUCUGCAUCUUGUAUUAGUGAUUUGCUGCCAAAUGUGACUCUAUACUCCUAAAAUUGGAUAUUUGAAAUAUGAGGCAAUUUUAGCUUUCAACUCUCUGGUGCCUAGAGUAAUUGUAUUGAACCUCCUUAAAAUCUAGCAUGGAUGGAGAUAUAACCUUUCCAAUUAUGUGAUGGUAGCUUUGGAAGUUAGAAUCUAUUAGGAUUGC